AAAUUGAAGAGUUUGAUCAUGGCUCAGAUUGAACGCUGGCGGCAGGCCUAACACAUGCAAGUCGAACGGUAACAGGAAGCAGCUUGCUGCUUUGCUGACGAGUGGCGGACGGGUGAGUAAUGUCUGGGAAACUGCCUGAUGGAGGGGGAUAACUACUGGAAACGGUAGCUAAUACCGCAUAACGUCGCAAGACCAAAGAGGGGGACCUUCGGGCCUCUUGCCAUCGGAUGUGCCCAGAUGGGAUUAGCUAGUAGGUGGGGUAACGGCUCACCUAGGCGACGAUCCCUAGCUGGUCUGAGAGGAUGACCAGCCACACUGGAACUGAGACACGGUCCAGACUCCUACGGGAGGCAGCAGUGGGGAAUAUUGCACAAUGGGCGCAAGCCUGAUGCAGCCAUGCCGCGUGUAUGAAGAAGGCCUUCGGGUUGUAAAGUACUUUCAGCGAGGAGGAAGGCGUUGUGGUUAAUAACCACAGCGAUUGACGUUACUCGCAGAAGAAGCACCGGCUAACUCCGUGCCAGCAGCCGCGGUAAUACGGAGGGUGCAAGCGUUAAUCGGAAUUACUGGGCGUAAAGCGCACGCAGGCGGUUUGUUAAGUCAGAUGUGAAAUCCCCGGGCUCAACCUGGGAACUGCAUUUGAAACUGGCAAGCUUGAGUCUCGUAGAGGGGGGUAGAAUUCCAGGUGUAGCGGUGAAAUGCGUAGAGAUCUGGAGGAAUACCGGUGGCGAAGGCGGCCCCCUGGACGAAGACUGACGCUCAGGUGCGAAAGCGUGGGGAGCAAACAGGAUUAGAUACCCUGGUAGUCCACGCCGUAAACGAUGUCUAUUUGGAGGUUGUGCCCUUGAGGCGUGGCUUCCGGAGCUAACGCGUUAAAUAGACCGCCUGGGGAGUACGGCCGCAAGGUUAAAACUCAAAUGAAUUGACGGGGGCCCGCACAAGCGGUGGAGCAUGUGGUUUAAUUCGAUGCAACGCGAAGAACCUUACCUGGUCUUGACAUCCACGGAAGUUUUCAGAGAUGAGAAUGUGCCUUCGGGAACCGUGAGACAGGUGCUGCAUGGCUGUCGUCAGCUCGUGUUGUGAAAUGUUGGGUUAAGUCCCGCAACGAGCGCAACCCUUAUCCUUUGUUGCCAGCGGUCCGGCCGGGAACUCAAAGGAGACUGCCAGUGAUAAACUGGAGGAAGGUGGGGAUGACGUCAAGUCAUCAUGGCCCUUACGACCAGGGCUACACACGUGCUACAAUGGCGCAUACAAAGAGAAGCGACCUCGCGAGAGCAAGCGGACCUCAUAAAGUGCGUCGUAGUCCGGAUUGGAGUCUGCAACUCGACUCCAUGAAGUCGGAAUCGCUAGUAAUCGUGGAUCAGAAUGCCACGGUGAAUACGUUCCCGGGCCUUGUACACACCGCCCGUCACACCAUGGGAGUGGGUUGCAAAAGAAGUAGGUAGCUUAACCUUCGGGAGGGCGCUUACCACUUUGUGAUUCAUGACUGGGGUGAAGUCGUAACAAGGUAACCGUAGGGGAACCUGCGGUUGGAUCACCUCCUUACCUUAAAGAAGC
rnacentral:rRNA from 1 species